rnacentral:rRNA from 1 species
AUUGAACGCUGGCGGCAGGCCUAACACAUGCAAGUCGAACGAGUGGCGGACGGGUGAGUAAUGUCUGGGAAACUGCACGAUGGAGGGGGAUAACUCCUGGAAACGGUAGCUAAUACCGCAUACCAUCGGAUGUGCCCAGAUGGGGUUAGCUAGUGGGUGGGGUAUAGGCUCACCUGGGCGACGAUCCCUAGCUGGUCUGAGAGGAUGACCGGCAACACUGGACCGGAGAAACGGUCCAGACUCUGACGGGAGGCAGCAGUGGGAAAUAUUGCACAAUGGGCGCAAGCCUGAUGCAGCCAUGCGGGGUGUAUGAAGAAGGCCUUCGGGUUGUAAAGUACUUUCAGCGAGGAGGCGUUACUCGCAGAAGAAGCACCGGCUAACUCCGUGCCAGCAGCCGCGGUAAUUC